GAGUGGGCCUAUAUGCUUCGGGUACUGGAGAAGUUUGGUUUAGGCGAACAGUUUAUAUCAUGGGUUGAUAUGAUAUAUAGGCAUCCCUCUUCUUCCAUUCUUACUAACCAAGAUAGAUCAGCGCCUUUUUUUUUUACACCGCGGGACACGACAAGGCUGCCCUUUGAGCCCUUUGCUCUUCGCAAUUUCUAUUGAACCUCUUGCAGUAGCCAUUAGGAACGAGCCCUCCAUUGACCCUGUCAGCACUACGUUUCUUUAUAUGCGGAUGAUGUUGUUUUGCUCUUGUCAAAUCCUGAGCGAUCUGUUCCUGUACUUUUAGAUGUGGUGAGGUCGUUUGGGGAAAUCUCAGGCUAUACAAUUAAUUGGCAGAAAAGUGAGUUUGUGGCUUUAACUGCAAACUUGGAUGUUGAUUUUUUGAAAAUUUUGCCUUUUAAAAUUACAGACAGAUUGAAAUACUUGGGUGUUAUUUUGCCUAAGGAUCCUAAAUUGAUCUUUAAGUUGAAUUAUCUUGAACAAGUUGAAAAAUUGAAAAAGGACAUUGAGAAAUGGAGGGCUAUCCCUAUUUCCAUGGUAGUGUCACGGUCCCCGUGCCUCACCGGUUGAUUCCGUGUUUGGCAACAUUUGUUUUGUUCUUGUGCUCUCUCUCCCUCUUUCCCCGGCCACAGCGGUGCUCACUGUGGGCUCCGCCCCUGGCCCCCACACCUGUGCUCAUCAUCACACCUGGCGCUGGUUACUACAAUCAGAAGGGCUUUUUAAGAUGGCAGACCUACACUACUCGUCGCUGGAACGUUGAGUCACCCGCAUUCCCCCCGGACCCGUCCUUGUACCCCCGAGUGAGUGAGAGGAGCGACUGGAGUGGAAAAGAGUGUGGUUUUGGACCCUUCCCCCUGGAGCCCCGGACCCCUUCCCCGAGCACCUUGUAUAUAUAUAAUCACCCGGUGACACCACUGUAAAUAAACGCACUAUCAGUUUCUGCAAAGGUCUCCUGGUCUGCGCCUGAGUCCGUUUACAAAACCGUGUCAGUCAUGUCUGUCCCAUCUGUAACAACUGAAAAUAAAAUAAAUAAUAACAACAAAGUUUGAUCAAAUGGACCAAUACGGCAAUGCCAUGAUGAUCCAUUUGGCAAAAUAAAUCCAUUUGGUAUCCUUGUUGGUCUUCAGACAACAAUUCUGAUGGCUAAAGAACCAAAUGGGACAGACAAAAAAGAAAAGAAAAAAAAUAAGAAAGUCGAAUCUUCAAACCUUAAAGCAAUCUUUGUUUCUUUCAAUCAUUCCAAUAUUUUUCAUCUCCUGUAAUAUAAUUGCUGUUAACCAGGGCUUAGCUACUCUGAUCUACAGUGAUUUUGGGGGUGUGGAUACCUAUUUUUUUUCACAGGUGCAGAGCCUUUUUCUACAAAAUUACGAAUAAACUGCAUUUUU